rnacentral:rRNA from 1 species
CCUACGGGAGGCAGCAGUGGGGAAUAUUGGACAAUGGGGGGAACCCUGAUCCAGCCAUGCCGCGUGUGUGAAGAAGGCCCUCGGGUUGUAAAGCACUUUCAGUGAGGAAGAACGCCUGGUGGUUAAUACCCAUCAGGAAAGACAUCACUCACAGAAGAAGCACCGGCUAACUCCGUGCCAGCAGCCGCGGUAAUACGGAGGGUGGGAGCGUUAAUCGGAAUUACUGGGCGUAAAGCGCGCGUAGGUGGCUUGAUAAGCCGGUUGUGAAAGCCCCGGGCUCAACCUGGGAACGGCAUCCGGAACUGUCAAGCUAGAGUGCAGGAGAGGAAGGUAGAAUUCCCGGUGUAGCGGUGAAAUGCGUAGAGAUCGGGAGGAAUACCAGUGGCGAAGGCGGCCUUCUGGACUGACACUGACACUGAGGUGCGAAAGCGUGGGUAGCAAACAGGAUUAGAUACCCCAGUAGUC